AACGAACGCUGGCGGCAGGCUUAACACAUGCAAGUCGAACGGGCGUAGCAAUACGUCAGUGGCAGACGGGUGAGUAACACGUGGGAACCUUCCUAGGGGGUACGGAACAACUCAGGGAAACUUGAGCUAAUACCGUAUACGUCCGUGAGGAGAAAGAUUUAUCGCCCUUAGACGGGCCCGCGUCGGAUUAGCUAGUUGGUGGGUAACGGCCUACCAAGGCGACGAUCCGUAGCUGAUCUGAGAGGAUGAUCAGCCACACUGGGACUGAGACACGGCCCAGACUCCUACGGGAGGCAGCAGUGGGGAAUCUUGGACAAUGGGCGCAAGCCUGAUCCAGCCAUGCCGCGUGAGUGAAGAAGGCCUUCGGGUUGUAAGCUCUUUGUUCAGGGACGAUAAUGACGGUACCUGAAGAAUAAGCCCCGGCAAACUUCGUGCCAGCAGCCGCGGUAA
rnacentral:rRNA from 1 species